rnacentral:rRNA from 1 species
GGGCCCGCACAAGCGGUGGAGUAUGUGGUUUAAUUCGAUGCAACGCGAAGAACCUUACCAGGGUUUGACAUCCUGCGAAUCUCUUGGAAACAGGAGAGUGCCUUCGGGAACGCAGUGACAGGUGGUGCAUGGCUGUCGUCAGCUCGUGUCGUGAGAUGUUGGGUUAAGUCCCGCAACGAGCGCAACCCACGUCUUUAGUUGCCAGCAUUUAGUUGGGCACUCUAGAGAGACUGCCGGUGAUAAACCGGAGGAAGGUGUGGAUGACGUCAAGUCAUCAUGCCCCUUACAUCCUGGGCUACACACGUACUACAAUGCUACGGACAAAGGGCAGCAAACUCGCGAGAGCUAGCAAAUCCCAUAAACCGUGGCUCAGUUCAGAUCGUAGGCUGCAACUCGCCUACGUGAAGGAGGAAUCGCUAGUAAUCG